AAUAAAUGCAGCCAUAGAUAUCCGUGUCUAACAUUUGACUGUCCGUCUUAUUUAAAAUUUGUGAAAAAUUUAAAAAUAUUUAGUCACAUAUAAAGUACUGUUUUAUCAUCUAAUAGCAAUAAAAACACUAAUCAUAAAAAAAUUUUAAAUAAGACAAACAGUCAAACGUUAAACGUAAAUAGUACAAAACUGUAUUUAUU
rnacentral:pre_miRNA from 1 species